rnacentral:lncRNA from 1 species
AUAACAAUCACUUGGGCAUUACCAGCUUCCUCGUCUGGGAUUCUGCAGCACAUUGUACAGAAAUUUUAGCUGUAUGGGUUUAUUUAAGGGAGCUACCUCUUCCUUUCAUGACACACUCUCAAAGAAUGACAUCAUUGCAAGAAGGGGCACUUCUUUGUAAAGGAAGCAAGACUCUUGAAAGGGAAAAAUGUAGUCAUCAUUCCAAAUUGCUCCGAAGGUCAGCAAUUGUGUUGCUGCAACAGCCAACCUUUCUGCUGAGACAAUCCUGUCUCACUUCUCAGCAGCAGCUCUCAGAUCUGAUAGAAAAGCAGCCUUCUGUGCCCCAAAAUUUGCUGUUUUCACCUUGUUCUUAGGCAGAUUUUAGGUGUCUCCUUAGGUUGGGAUUGUAUAAACACACAUCAGUGUUGACCAUCAGAUUAUGAAAUAUAUUUACACUGAGUGCAAAAGAAAAUCUCUCACAUCUUCCUCUGGCCAAGCCAGGAUUUCAGACUCUCUGCUUUGUGCAGAGGCUGAGGCAAAGUUACAGCAGUGGAUGCAAAAGUGAGAUAAUCACUUAUGUUAGGACAGGAGAGAAGGGAAGCUACAGUCUCCAAAGUAAAUCAUAUUUAUGGUGUGUGACUGUUCCUUCAGAUUUCUGAACAAGAUUUCUGAACAUUUUUAACCUCCCCAGUAUUUUAUCCUUCUCACUUUGCCCUGGCAGUGGUACAUAUUUCCUGUCCAGGUUGUGCCAUCCUCUAGAAAAGCUCAAUUUUUAAAAAAAUGUUUUCAGUUUUAUGUGGUCCCACAAAAAAAAAAAAAAAUUAAAACCAAACAAUUUAAUCUGGCAAACUGAAUAUAUGUGAGAGAGCUCAAGCUAUUGUUGUGGAAAAUGCUGGCUGAUAUAUGGAUCACAGGGAUGAAAUUCCAAUGUAGAAGUGUGCUGAAUAGACAAGGCAGGGAAGCAGGUUGUGCCAUGUCAAGGUUUUCUUCUGAGGUUACCACAGGGGAGCCAGGUGUGCUCCAGAUAGUCCUACAAAUGAGAAUUUAGGAGUCCUACAGCUUGCUUACUACCCUCAGAUA